AGAGUUGCCAAUUUUGGUUGGACAUAUUCCUGGAGGUCUCAUCACAUGACAUAAUCUUUAAUUAAAGAUUAAUCUUUCAUUCCUGGAGACCCCAGGACAAUCUUGGAGGUCUAAAGAGAGUCGUGGAGGGCAAGAGUGUG